AUGCAAGUCGAACGAAGUAGCAAUACUUAGUGGCAGACGGGUGAGUAACAUGUAGGUAUCCGCCCUUUGGCCUGGAAUAACACGAGGAAACUUGUGCUAAUACCGGAUAAGUCUUUACGGAGAAAGCUUUAUGCACCAUUGGAUGAGCCUGCACUUGAUUAGUUUGUUGGUAGGGUAAUGGCCUACCAAGACUGUGAUCAAUAGCUGAUUUGAGAGGAUGAUCAGCCACAUUGGGACUGAGACACGGCCCAAACUCCUACGGGAGGCAGCAGUGGGGAAUCUUGCACAAUGGAGGAAACUCUGAUGCAGCGAUGCCGCGUGAGUGAAGAAGGCCCUUGGGUUGUAAAGCUCUUUCGUCGGGGAAGAAAAUGACUGUACCCGAAUAAGAAGGUCCGGCUAACUUCGUGCCAGCAGCCGCGGUAAUACGAAGGGACCUAGCGUAGUUCGGAAUUACUGGGCUUAAAGAGUUCGUAGGUGGUUGAAAAAGUUGGUGGUGAAAUCCCAGAGCUUAACUCUGGAACUGCCAUCAAAACUUUUCAGCUAGAGUAUGAUAGAGGAAAGCAGAAUUUCUAGUGUAGAGGUGAAAUUCGUAGAUGUUAGAAAGAAUACCAAUUGCGAAGGCAGCUUUCUGGAUCAUUACUGACACUGAGGAACGAAAGCAUGGGUAGCGAAGAGGAUUAGAUACCCUCGUAGUCCAUGCCGUAAACGAUGUGUGUUAGACGUUGGAAAUUUAUUUUCAGUGUCGCAGCGAAAGCGAUAAACACACCGCCUGGGGAGUACGACCGCAAGGUUAAAACUCAAAUGAAUUGACGGGGACCCGCACAAGUAGUGGAGCAUGUGGUUUAAUUCGAAGAUACGCGCAGAACCUUACCAACACUUGACAUGUUCGUCGCGACUCUAAGAGAUUAGAGUUUUCG
rnacentral:rRNA from 1 species